rnacentral:pre_miRNA from 11 species
GCCCUCUGCUGUGGUCUAUGGCUUUUUAUUCCUAUGUGAUUGCUUUUCAUAACUCAUGUAGGGCUAAAAGCCAUGGGCUACACAGAGGAAU